UACGUAGGUGGCAAGCGUUGUCCGGAUUUACUGGGCGUAAGGAGCGCGCAGGCGGUCGAGUAAGUCGAAUGUGAAAGCCCCCGGCUUAACUGGGGAGGGUCAUUCGAUACUGUUCGACUUGAAGGCAGGAGAGGGCAGCAGAAUUCCCGGUGUAGUGGUGAAAUGCGUAGAUAUCGGGAGGAAUACCAGUGGCGAAGGCGGCUGCCUGGCCUGUUCUUGACGCUGAGGCGCGAAAGCUGGGGGAGCAAACGGG
rnacentral:rRNA from 1 species